UUGAGUGAAUGCUCUCAAGGAUUCUUCUUACUCAAAACUCAAGUGAUUUACAAUGAGGGAAGAGGUCUCUUAUUUAUAGUUGAGCCUCCCCAAAUCCAACGGUGCAAAAUUAAGUACAUCAACGGCUAUGAUUAAAGGGCACCUACCACCAAACCUUUAAGAAUAUAAAAUCAUAUCUUCUAAGAUUACAUAUCUUAUCUAAGAUAUGUAAUCUUAUAAAAUAAUAUAUUAUAUUUGUCUAACUUGUAGAUGGGCCUUCAAUCUCUUCAAGCAACGGGCCGGUCUGAUUGGGCCAAAUGACCUCCUUCCUUCUUGAUGGUUCACACAGAUGUGUCAUGGUUGCGGGCUCCCAUGCGCAACCCAUGACAUUCUCCCCCACCAAAUCUAGCGACGCCCUCGUCGCGUCCUCUGCAUGGUAUCGAUCUAUCUUGUCUUGGAAUUGCCACAAGGCUUCAGCAAGUUCCCAACUCAUCUCACUAUCCGGGAAUCCCUUCCAUCGGACUAAGUAUUCGCGCCGCGGUCGGUAGUGCUUACGUCUGACCAUACGAUCCGCUUCGAUGUUCUCGACCUCUCGAUCAUAGGCGACUUUUACCCCCAUUGGUGCUCGUUCAGACUUGCUUCGAUUUGGGUCUUCUCCAUCUUUAUGGAAUGGUUUAAGCAUACUCACGUGGAAUACUGGAUGAACUUUAAGCUUUUCAGGCAACUCGAGCUUGUAGGCCACCUUGCCUACCUUCUUCACAAUUCGAAAUGGCCCCUCGUACCGCCGAACGAGUCCUUUGUGUAACCCAUCAUGUCGCAAAAUCAGGUGUAGUUUGGCAAGAACUGGUUCACCUACCUGAAAUUGUACGUCCCUUCGAUUUCGAUCUGCCCAUUUCUUAUUGCGCUUACUUGCCUUAUGUAGACAAGCUCUAGCUAGAUCGUUUUGCUCUUGCCAAUCCCUCGCAAAUCGAUAAGCUGCUGGAUUCGGUCCCGCAUAACGAGUUGCAACUGCAUUGGGUGUAAGCGGUUGUUGCCCCGUUACUAUCUCAAAUGGACUCUGGUUCGUUGCCCCACUUCGUUGUAAGUUGUACGAAAACUGGGCAACAUCCAAAAACUUUGGCCAAUCCUUUUGUGUUGCACUUACAUAGUGUCGAAGAUACGUCUCCAACAAUGCAUUCACUCGUUCAGUUUGCCCAUCAGUUUGAGGAUGCAUGCUAGUGGAAAAGUUUAAGUCUGAGCCCAUUAACUUGAACAACUCUGUCCAAAACCGACCCGUGAAUCGCCCAUCUCGAUCACUGAUGAUAGACUGUGGUACUCCCCAAUACUUCACCACAUGUUUAAGGAAUAAGCGAGCUGCCUCAUCAGCAGGACAUUCUUUGGUUGCGGGGACGAAAGUUGCAUACUUCGAAAACCUGUCCACCACAACAAAAAUACUCGCAAAUCCAUCAGAUUUAGGCAAGCCUGUGAUAAAGUCCAUGGACAAGCUCUCCCAUGGGCGCUCCGGAAUGGGCAAUGGUUGUAACAAACCAGCAGGGGCUUUCAACUCAACCUUAUCUUGUUGGCAUAUUCAACAAGUUUUCACAUAGGCCUCCACAUCAUCCCCCAUGUGAGGCCAAUAAAAUCGAUCCUCCAAUAGAGCCAAGGUGCGGUGUAUUCCUGGAUGGCCAGCCCAUUUUGAAUCAUGGCAUUCCUUCAUGACUUCCCUUCGUAAAUUCUUAUGUUGAGGCACAUAUAGACGUUGCCCAUGAGUGUAUAGCAAUUCUCCCUCGAGCCAAAAUCGCCUCGUCUUUCCAUCUCUAGCAAGCUCUAUUAGAUUUUUAGCCGUGGGAUCAAGGGACAGUCCUUCUUGGAUGCGCUCUAAUAAGGGACUCUCAGGUUGGCUUAUCGUUGCGAAUUCCAUUUUUCGGCUAAGUGCAUCGGCCACAAUGUUGGCACUCCCCAGCUUGUAUUCCAUGCUAAAAUCAAACUCUGCUAGGAAAACCUGCCAACGAGCCUGCUUGGGGGACAACUUUUUCUGGGUUAAGAAAUAGCUAUUUGCAACAUUAUCAGUGAAUACCACAAACAUGGAACCCAGCAAGUAGUGUCUCCAUGUGCGCAAACAAUGCACCACUGCCGUCAUCUCUUUUUCUUGGACCGUGUAUCUCCGUUCCGUCUCGUUAAGCUUUCGACUCUCGAAAGCAAUCGGAUGCCCAUCUUGCAUCAACACCCCUCCAAUCGCAUACUCUGAAGCAUCUGUGUGUACCUCAUACGCUUUUGAAAAAUUGGGCAAUGCAAGUACAGGCUCACUCGUUAUUGCUUGCUUCACUUGGUUGAAGGCUUUCUCACACCGAAGGUCCCAAUCCCACACUUUGCCCUUUUUCAACAGGUCCGUCAAGGGUGCAGUGAUCUUAGAAUAGCCCUCAAUGAAGCGACGGUAGUAAUUUGCUAAUCCAAGGAAAGACCGCAACUCCGUCACCUUGGUUGGUGACUCCCAAUCGGCAAUUGCUUGAAUUUUUCUUUCAUCCAUUCGAAUCAUGCCCCCUCCCACAAUAUGGCCUAGAAAUGGCACUUCUCGUUGGGCAAAGGAGCAUUUCUCCUUUUUGACAUGUAGCUUAUUUUCUCGUAGAGUUUGAAACACCUCCCCCAAGUGUCCCACAUGCUCUUCGAGCGUCUUACUAUAUACCACAAUAUCGUCAAGAUAAACAACCACAAAACGAUCCAAGAAAGGUUGUAAUACCUUAUUCAUUAGGGUACAAAAUGUGGCCGAAGCAUUUGUCAACCCGAAUGGCAUUACCAAGAACUCAAAGGACCCAUACCUAGUUACACAGACUGUCUUGGGUUCAUCCCCUUCGGCUAUUCUCACUUGGUGGUACCCCGAUCGCAAAUCCAACUUAGUAAACCAUCUCGCGCUACCAAGUUGAUCGAACAAAUCUGCAAUAAGAGGAAUGGGGUACCUAUUUUUUAUAGUGAUUUUGUUUAAGGCCCUGUAGUCGAUGCACAUUCUCAAAGAUCCAUCAUGCUUCUUUUGAAAUAACACCGGUGCGCCGAACGGGGCUUUAGAUGGUCUAAUGAACCCGGCAUCUAAAAGCUCUAUCAACUGCUUCCGCAAUUCUUCUAGUUCCGGUGGAGCCAUCCGAUAUGGUGCCCUUGCUGGUGGUUCAGCAUUAGGCAACAGCUCAAUCUUGUGGUCCACCUCCCUCUUAGGUGGCAAUCUUUUGGGCAACUUUACCGGCAUUACAUCUUGAAAUGACUUUAGCAACCGUUCCACUUCCUUUGGAAAUUCCACCUCGAAUUUAUCAUCCACAUUGUCUCUCAAGGUAGCUAGGUAGGAGACUUCAUUUCGACGAACUCCUUUGGCAAAUUGAAUUGCCGACAAGGUUUUCCCCCCCAUGCUUCCUUUCCUUUUCAUUCUCACCAUAUAUCAUUGAUUUGCAUCGGAGAUGGUCAUGUAGUUCUCGGAAGGGUGAAUAUCCGCAUUAAGCCUGUCAAGUAAACUUAAUCCAACUACAAAAUCGUAAUCAUCAAGUGGGAUUACCUUAAUGGUCGCUUUGCCCGUCCACUCACCAAGUUUGAGUUCCACCCCUUUUGCCACACCCGUUAUGGGAAUGCUUUCUGAAUUCACCGUUUUGAUUCGUCCCGAAUCUUCCUCGAUUCUAAGGCCAAGUUCCUUUGCCAUUUCUUUAGACAUAAAUAAAUCAGAUGCACCAGUAUCAACAAGUGCAUUCAAUCUUCUGCCAGCUACGAUGAUGUCCACAAACAUCAACCCAUUGCUUGACUUCUCUUCAACACCUCCUAAUAUCGAAUUGAGGCUUUUGGUGUCAUCUUCGGCUUCUUCGCGUGCCUCCAUGGCAUGAAAAGCGGCUUUCUUUGGACAGACACUCAUUCUAUGUGGGCCUUGGCAAAGAAAGCACUUCAUUGGUCCUUUUCUAUCCUAAGGCUUACCUUGACUAGACUUUGGGCCUUCGUCGUUCUUUUCUCUUUGAUCCUUGUUUCCCCCACCAUUAUCUUUGGGUCUCGACUUGGGUUUGUAAGAAUCUUUAUUAUCAAACGUUCUUCCCCCAACAUCAUAGAAAUUUUCUGCCUUGGCCAUAGCUUCGGUCAGUUCGGUGAUAUCUAGGCGACGCAACUCUUGCUUGGCCCACAUUUUUAAACCAUCCUCGAACCAAUAGAAUGCUUCUUUCUCAUUCAAGUCUGAGAUCUGAAGCAUCAACUUGCUGAAUUCCCGAACAUAAUCUCGAACAGUGCCUUGUUGCGUAAGCCGACGCAACUUAGCACGAGCCUCCUUUUCGGCAUGUUGUGGAUAAAACUGCUUCUUCAACUCUCUUUGGAACUCCUCCCAAGUUCCAAUGGUCGUUCCUCCACGUUUCUCAUCCGUGGACCUACGUCUCCACCACAAGAGAGCAACAUCAGAAAAGUAAAUUGAAGCGGUGUUUACCUUGGUGGCAUCAUCCUCAAUGCCAAUUGCUCGAAAAUACUGCUCCAAUUCCCACAGGAAGUUGUCUACUUCUCUUGCGGACCUAAUCCCCUUGAACUUCUUGGGUUUUGGAACAUCCACAUGACGUUGCUUCGGUCCCGAAGCCAACAUCCCACUUCCCAAGGCAGCCUUACAGAUUCUGAGCUCCCCCUUAAGCUCAGCAAUCUCUUCCUUCAUGGCAGUCAGCAGGGCCUCAAGAGCUUCGUCCCUCCCUGUUAGUUUGUCCGAAGUGGAUCUGAUGGAGUCCAACACAAACUCCUUGCUAUCUUCCCUCAGUUCAUCCAUACGGGUUAGGACCACUUCGAGUGUCUCCUUCAUGUCACCAGCGGACUCCUCGAGAUUAACCACUCGAAUUUCCAAGCUCGACAGCAUAUCCCUCGAUCGACUAGCCUUUCUAGCCCUCCCACGGGUCUCCAUUGGCUCAUUCUGAUCAACUUCUUUCGACAUAUCUCAAAAGUGCUUUCGAACGGCUCUGAUACCAACUGUCACGGACUUAAGAUUCUUUCCUCAGAAUCCAUGCGGCCUUAGGCAGUUUCUUACUCCAAAACGCCUAAGUCAGCCUAACUUCCACAAAAGAAGGAUUCAACAGAAUUCCUCCCUAAAACACAACUCAAGCGAAAGCAACUCAAAGCCAACAAGAUGAAAAAAAAAUGAGACAAGAAUAAGCCAGGGAAAAUAAGAACACAAGAGAGAAAAGUUUGAGUGAAUGCUCUCAAGGAUUCUUCUUACUCAAAACUCAAGUGAUUUACAAUGAGGGAAGAGGUCUCUUAUUUAUAGUUGAGCCUCCCCAAAUCCAACGGUGCAAAAUUAAGUACAUCAACGGCUAUGAUUAAAGGGCACCUACCACCAAACCUUUAAGAAUAUAAAAUCAUAUCUUCUAAGAUUACAUAUCUUAUCUAAGAUAUGUAAUCUUAUAAAAUAAUAUAUUAUAUUUGUCUAACCUGUAGAUGGGCCUUCAAUCUCUUCAAGCAACGGGCCGGUCUGAUUGGGCCAAAUGACCUCCUUCCUUCUUGAUGGUUCACACAGAUGUGUCAUGGUUGCGGGCUCCCAUGCGCAACCCAUGACACU
rnacentral:lncRNA from 1 species